AGUUCCGCGCGAGAGGAAAGUCCGGACACCGCAGGGCAGGAUUCCCCGCGAAAGCGGGGGCGGCGCGCGCAAAGCGCGUUGACGGACAGUGUCACAGAAAACAGACCGCCGGCGCGGAAACGCGUCGGUAAGGGUGAAAAGGCGAGGCAAGAGCUCACCGCUCCCGAGGCGACGAGGGAGGCAGGACAAACCCAAUCCGGUGCAAGGCAAAAUAGGCGAGCGGGCGGCCCGUCCGAUGCUCGCGGGUAUGCCGCACCGCCGCAAGGCGGGGGCCGCGGGAACGCGGUUCAGAGGAAUGAAUGCGGCCGCGGAAGCGCGCAAGCGCCGAGGCGGCACGGAAUCCGGCUUACAGCG
rnacentral:RNase_P_RNA from 1 species